rnacentral:lncRNA from 1 species
UGGGCUGGUUUCCCACCCGUCAUCUCUGAGGGUGAUUGGGAUCUCUACAAAUAUGAGACACAGGGACUGGCCUGGUUCUGUAGGGAAGGUUCUGCAGCUGGUGGGACGGAAGCUUCUGCCCAAGUCUCUGGGCCUGGGCUGCUCUGCAGAGGCUGGGCAUGGAGCAGGGGGAGGAGCCAGGGUGAGCACAGGGAGGGCCUUGGGGCAGGGAGGAGACAGGAGAUGAGGAAGCAAUGAUGGUUCUGGGGAGUGGAGGGGAAGCCCCAGUAGAGGGAGGAGGAGCCUGGAGAUGCUGCUGGGAAGGACUGGACCAGACUUCCAUCCCUCUAACCUCUGCCCAGCCCAAGCAGCAGGUAGCCCUGGGAGGCCAGUUCCCCAUGACUGCCCCCCAACACCGCUUGGGGGACCCUCAUGUGGUCAUUUCCAUCACAAGAGGAAUGACCCCUGUGGGACUGGGCCAGCUGAGCCCGCAUCUCUCAUCUCUGCUUAUGGAUUUGUUUGUGUCUAGGGAUUUAAUAAACUCCUUUCUCUUCCGUUGUCACUUUUCAGCCUGCAAUGAAUGUUUGUGCUGAGGACCGAGACCAGCUGUGUCAAUGUUAACUGCUGGUUCCAGGAUACUCUUUCCCAGGUGGAUGAGGGUGAAAACAAUAAAGAAUGUCACUCAUUGCUUCAGGGAAUUCCUGAAAACCAAUUAUCCAGGUGAUCCUGGCCCUCUGUCCCAAAGCCACAGACGCUGCAGGCAACUGAGUCCGCUCAGAGGAGGCCACUGAGCCUACAAGAUAGGACAGGAGAGAUUGAGCUAUAAAACCAUGACAAGUGCAUGGAGCAGCUAUUUGAGCACCAGGAAAGGAAAUGGUACGCAGCAGUUUGGGAUGGCCCCAGCAGAUGAAAUACAACAGAGUCAGUGUGAGACUGCUGGAUUUCCUCACUGUCCCCUGGCUGGGACUCCAGACAGCCCCAAACCUGAAGGGGCACAAACCUGAAAACAAAAAGAAGUCCAGAAAGCCCUCUUGUUCAGGAUCGAACUUGGGAAAGAAAACUUAUUUGGCUCAAAGUGAAGGCUCAGUCCCCUGCACAAGCAGGUGGUUCACACCUGUGUUCUCAUCUCUCUUAUACCAGCGCCUCUCCCUGGGUUCACACUGAUGUCCUAUGGAUGGAGACGGGGCUUCCUGCACCAGGUCACUCCACAGCCCCUGUAACCUGAAGCCCUGCAGACCAGCCUUGUUCAAUCACAAUGUGAUGUGAGCCUCAUGGGAAUCCCACUGUCUAGUCAUCAUGUUAUAAAUACAAAGAGAAGAAGUCAAUGAGUUUAAAUAAUGUAUUUUAUUUACCUAGCAUAUCAAAAAGAGUAUCAUUUUCAUAUAUAAUCUAAGUACAAUUAUUUAUGAUAUAUAUCAUAUACUUUGCAUGGCUAUUGUUAUUAUUUUUUGAAGAAUCUUUAUGUGGAGA